GCUGUGAGUUGCAUCUGCCUGUAUUUAGGCCACUUUGGCUGUACUGCUGAAGGUAAUACAUUCUCUUUUGCAGUGGCCCUUUAUCUGUCCUUGCUGAACGUGCUCAUGCAUGUGGUGCCCUUUGAGGAGAAAAUCCCAUCUCGAGCUCUGUGCUCCUGCCACUCAUAUCAGUGCUGAAGUCUUUUUGUUUAGGUGACCGAUAGGAGAUCAUGAAGCCAUGGCUCACACGUGUAUUUUGUAGCAGUGUGCAGCUAACCAUGCUUCCCCCAGGCACUUAAGAUGAAGAGCUGCUCUUUUCUUUGGCUAUUUUGCACAUUCUCUUUGUCUCACAAGUAAGAGAAAAUUUUCUUUUAAAUCUUCAUUUUUAUUAAUAAGGCUUUUUCUUUACCAAUGACACUGAGGGAAACUAUUCUGAGUGGUUUUAAAUUAUAGGAAAUUAACAUUCAUCUGAAACCCUUGAAGUUCUUCAAACGGUUUCAUUUGGAGGUUGUCUGAACAGAUGCACUCCUGGGAUGCUCAUGUACUGAGCAGAAAGUUUGUGGAUGCAUCUCAGCUGAUCAAUUUACAUAAUGAUGUUGGUGGAAUAUCACUGUGUGUGGGAACUGCUGAGUCCCGGCCUGCACCACUGAUGGAGCACCUGGGAAAGGACCCGGUCAGCCCUGGGAGCACAGCUGGAGGCAAUUCAGCUGUGGGACUGGAAGGGGUGCAGCCUGGGUGCACCUCUCAUAGACCUCAUUUAAGGGCUGACUGCCCCUCGGGAAGGGUUUCUUCCUGGAGGUCCCUCCUUGGUGAGGCUUUCCCUGCAAACCUGCAAUCUUCUGACACGUAAGCCUUGGAAUGCUGCCUGUGCAGGGGAAGCACCUCGAUGAAUUGCCUGGGUGGUUUGAUGUGCUGCUCCCUAAUAGCACCAGUAAAAGGGGAAAGGUUUCAUGUGAUCCAGUUCUGUAGGACCCCAGUAGCACCAGGAGAGUGGGACGUGUGUCAUCCCUGCUGCAAUAAAAGAGCCAUUUGCUGAUGAGGUAAUCAGGGCUGAACUACUACUUUUUAAUUUCUUUAAUUGAAUUUGCUUGCGGAAAAUUAAGAGCAGGCAAUGAAAAAUUCAUAAGGUGCUGAGAUCAAAUAGAGGAAAAAGCAAACGGAUUUGUGUCAGAUCUCACCAACGAGAAACGUCUGAUGAGUUCCUCUACUAAGAAAGGAAACUUUCUCGUGUUAAGGUGAAUUAUGGCUUCCAUCAGUGUGCCGAUAAAAGGAACGGAGUAUCAGUAAGAGCUUUCCCACUUAACUUCUCGAGGGGGGGGGGGUUGAAGCUCUAUUUCUGUAGGUUCUCAUUAGUGGGGUUUUGUGAAAUGGAGGAAUAACGACCGGGAUUGUUUAAACAAAUGAUACAUUUCCCUUUUACCAUCCAGGAAAUCAGGGGUUUUAAAAUACUUUAAUUUUCACCCAGUAGCAGCUCAUAGCAUCCGGCUGUCCUCAGCUGCCGCUUUGCUGUGUGCGGGGGAGCAGAGCAAGGUUUGUGUAAGCGGGGUGAUGAGUUACGGGAGAUGAAGGGGAUGGGAGACGUGGGAUUUCUACAACGCUACAGAAGCAGUGGAAAGGGGAGAUGGGCCGUUUUGAUCGUCACGCGGGCUGAGGAGAGGAGCAGCGCUGACAGCUCCGCAGAGCUCCCGCAAAGGGCGCAGAUGUUCCGGCGCGGCUCGAGGCGGCUGCGGGCGGGAAAUUUGAAAGCCGCGGCUGAUGUGGGAAACGCGAGGUGACCUCCAACGGCCGCGAGCGACCGUGAGGGAGCG
ensembl:lncRNA